rnacentral:rRNA from 1 species
AUUGAACGCUGGCGGCAGGCCUAACACAUGCAAGUCGAACGAGUGGCGGACGGGUGAGUAAUGUCUGGGAAACUGCCUGAUGGAGGGGGAUAACUACUGGACACGGUAGCUAAUACCGCAUACCAUCAGAUGUGCCCAGAUGGGCUUAGCGAGUAGGUGGGGUAACGGCUCACCAAGGCGACGAUCCCUAGCUGGUCUGAGAGGAUGACCAGCCACACUGGAAUGGAGACACGGUCCAGACUCCUACGGUAGUCAGCAGUGGGUAAUAUUGCACAAUGGGCGCAAGCCUGAGGCAGCCAUGCCGCGUGUAUGAAGAGGGCCUUCGGGUUGUAAAGUACUUUCAGCGGGGAGGCGUUACCCGCAGAAGAAGCAGCGGCUAACUCCGUGCCAGCAGCCGCGGUAAUUC